CCGUGAAAACUCACGGCUUAACUGUGGGCGUGCGGGCGAUACGGGCAGACUGGAGUACUGCAGGGGAGAUUGGAAUUCCUGGUGUAGCGGUGGAAUGCGCAGAUAUCAGGAGGAACACCGGUGGCGAAGGCGGGUCUCUGGGCAGUAACUGACGCUGAGGAGCGAAAGCGUGGGGAGCGAACAGGAUUAGAUACCCUGGUAGUCCACGCCGUAAACGGUGGGUACUAGGUGUGGGUUUCCU
rnacentral:rRNA from 1 species